CAGCAGCCGCGGUAAUACGUAGGGUGCAAGCGUUAAUCGGAAUUACUGGGCGUAAAGCGUGCGCAGGCGGUUUUGUAAGACAGAGGUGAAAUCCCCGGGCUCAACCUGGGAACUGCCUUUGUGACUGCAAGGCUAGAGUACGGCAGAGGGGGAUGGAAUUCCGCGUGUAGCAGUGAAAUGCGUAGAUAUGCGGAGGAACACCGAUGGCGAAGGCAAUCCCCUGGGCCUGUACUGACACUCAUGCACGAAAGCGUGGGGAGCAAACAGGAUUAGAUACCCCUGUAGUCCCUGUCUCUUAUAC
rnacentral:rRNA from 1 species